UUCCUUUUCUCCAACUUAAAAGCGUUUGAGGGCUUCUAAACUCCUUUUAGAUUAUAUUGUCUUUCAUCUGCUUUUGAGAAGCUUGUUUUUCUGUUUGUCUAUUCUAUUUACAACUUGUAUUUGCUUGAUUCAAUCGGGGGAUUGAAUCAAGGGUACAGAGGUUAGUUGGUGAGCCUAGUUAUUAAAACCAACGUGUGUAAGGGUUUGAUUGUGAUCCCGG
rnacentral:lncRNA from 1 species